rnacentral:lncRNA from 1 species
UCUCAGCCCGUGUGGUGGGCUGCCCCACCAUGGCUCCCUGCGUUCUUGCCUCCUGGUCACUCGGCCUCGUGUGAUCCCCACACCCAUGCCUCCAGGGUGGAUGGACCUUGCGCCUGGGUUCCGACAUGUAGACUGACUUGUGAAAGCUGGUAUCUUGCCAGAUCGUUCAUGGAGAAAGUGGAUCUCAUCUGGCAAGAGCAUAAUCAUCUUCCCAACACCCCCUCUAGUGGUGGGCAAGGCUGGACAAGUGGCUGUCUUGGUUGGACCAGGUGCCUGGGAGGGGACUGGACGUGAAGCCCUCCAGAGGCCAUCGCAUGAUCGUGCACAGGAUCCAAGACUCGGUGGCUCCUGGUGUACUCAUUCCACAGUGCCUCUUAAUAGCAAGUGGACUCCUCCAAGGGCGAUGAGCAUCACAACUUUGGUUGACCUUGGUCUAGGUAAGCCUUGUCUUCCAUAGCAAGGUUUGAUGUCUGUCUUAUCAGCUUCUUUGCUGUGGUAUUGAUAUGGUUGUUUUGAAAAUAAUGGACUUUCCAGUAAUUUCUAUGAUGGUAAAUACUACUCACAGUUGCCACUUUAUACAAAAUACUGUAGGGUGUUUUACCCCAAACAGGGGUAGUCUCCUGAG